rnacentral:SRP_RNA from 1 species
GCCAGGCGCGGUGGUGUGUGCCUGUAGUCCCAGCUACUCGGGAGGCUGAGGCAGGAGAAUCACUGGAGCCCAGGAGUUCAAGGCUGCAGUGAACUGUGAUCGCACCACUGCACUCCAGCCUGGGUGACACAGUGAGUACCUGUCUCUA